CCUGACUGCUAUCGGAUUGAUACUAAGCCAUGCGAGUCAUUGUAGUAAUACAAGGCAGACGGCUCAGUAACGCGUAGUCAACCUAACCUAUGGACGGGAAUAACCUCGGGAAACUGAGUAUAAUGUCCGAUAGAACAUUAUGCCUGGAAUGGUUUAUGUUCCAAAUGAUUUAUCGCCGUAGGAUGGGACUGCGGCCUAUCAGUUUGUUGGUGAGGUAAUGGCCCACCAAGACUAUUACAGGUACGGGCUCUGAGAGGAGUAGCCCGGAGAUGGGUACUGAGACACGGACCCAGGCCCUAUGGGGCGCAGCAGGCGAGAAAACUUUGCAAUGUGCGAAAGCACGACAAGGUUAAUCCGAGUGGUUUCUGCUAAAGGAACCUUUUGUUAGUCCUAGAAACACUAACGAAUAAGGGGUGGGCAAGUUCUGGUGUCAGCCGCCGCGGUAAAACCAGCACCUCAAGUGGUCAGGAUGAUUAUUGGGCCUAAAGCAUCCGUAGCCGGCUUUGUAAGUUUUCGGUUAAAUCCAUGUGCUCAACGCAUGGGCUGCCGAAAAUACUGCAUAGCUAGGGAGUGGAAGAGGUAGACGGUACUCAGUAGGUAGGGGUAAAAUCCUUUGAUCUAUUGAUGACCACCUGUGGCGAAGGCGGUCUACCAGAACACGUUCGACGGUGAGGGAUGAAAGCUGGGGGAGCAAACCGGAUUAGAUACCCGGGUAGUCCCAGCUGUAAACGAUGCAGACUCGAUGAUGCAUUGGCAUAUAGCCAGUGCAGUGUCGCAGGGAAGCCGUUAAGUCUGCCGCCUGGGAAGUACGUACGCAAGUAUGAAACUUAAAGGAAUUGGCGGGGGAGCACCACAAGGGGUGAAGCCUGCGGUUC
rnacentral:rRNA from 1 species